rnacentral:rRNA from 1 species
AUUGAACGCUGGCGGCAGGCCUAACACAUGCAAGUCGAGCGGAGCGCGGGACGGGUGCGUAAUGCCUAGGAAUCUGCCUGGUCGUGGUGGAUAACGUCCGGUACCGGGCGCUAAUACCGCAUACUAUCAGCAGCGCAUAUGUCGGAUUAGCUAGUUGUGGGGGUAAAGGCCUACCAAGGCGACGAUCCGUAACUGGUCUGAGAGGAUGAUCAGGCACACUGGAACUGAGACACGGUCCAGACUCCUACGGGAGGCAGCAGUGGGGAAUAUUGGACAAUGGGCGAAAGCCUGAUCCAGCCAUGCCGCGUGUGUGAAGAAGGUCUUCGGAUUGUAAAGCACUUUAAGUUGGGAGGCGUUACCAACAGAAGAAGCACCGGCUAACUUCGUGCCAGCAGCCGCGGUAAUAC